rfam:[Clostridium] stercorarium subsp. stercorarium DSM 8532 chromosome, complete genome.
GUGAAACUGAAUAUUGAACCAUAGACAGCAGGAACCGCAAGGUGUAACGUAUAUCAUCCUGCCGAGGUUAAGCUUCAAGGGUUUAAAAAGGUAUACAACCCUCUGUAUGUCUGUGGUUAUCCAGGAAAUACAGAGGGUUUUUAUAUAUACGC